UCCUAAUAAAGAUAUUUGAGGGAAAGGCACUAACUUGGGAGGCAACUAUAAAGGAAGCACAACUACUUAAGACAGAUGAAAAUUGUUAGAGAUUCUACCAUCACUGCAAUUCCUUUUGUAGGGCUGAGCAGUGCAGAAACAAACCAUUUCAUUUCCUUCCAACGCAAAAGAACCACCACUUCUUUCACAUUCUUUGCAACUAUUUCCACUCCAUGUCAACUGGUGCAGCAACAUGAGACUGACAAGGCGUUACAGUAGAGUUGAUCUCAAUUUUUCCAUCUUCUAUAACAGCAUAAGAGUGGUACGGAUCAUCGGAAGCACAAAGCGAUGGGGUGCUGCCUAUAUUCAACUCAACAGGAAAGGAGCUGUUUCAAUCGUUAAACAAGCAGAGAUUGGCAAAAUUGUGGCCAAAUUUGACUGAAGACCGAUCAAAAGCAAAAAGUUCCCGGGGAGCAAUACAUGCAGCAUUCAGAACUUCAGCAUUCACCAACCGGAUGGAUUGGUUUUGGUAGGUGGCACUCAAGAACGUACUCACUUCGAGAUGUUAAAUAAACAGGUUUGUUUCCUUUUCAGGAUAACUCAAACCCUGGAUAACCACAACAAUCUGGAUAAUUUUCUUCUAUGAUCUGGACAGUGUAGCUUAUCUGUGGACCAUUUUCACAAUUUCUAGA